rnacentral:rRNA from 1 species
UGGGGAAUAUUGGACAAUGGACCAAAAGUCUGAUCCAGCAAUUCUGUGUGCACGAUGAAGUUUUUCGGAAUGUAAAGUGCUUUCAGUUGGGAAGAAGUCAGUGACGGUACCAACAGAAGAAGCGACGGCUAAAUACGUGCCAGCAGCCGCGGUAAUACGUAUGUCGCAAGCGUUAUCCGGAUUUAUUGGGCGUAAAGCGCGUCUAGGCGGUUUAGUAAGUCUGAUGUGAAAAUGCGGGGCUCAACCCCGUAUUGCGUUGGAAACUGCUAAACUAGAGUACUGGAGAGGUAGGCGGAACUACAAGUGUAGAGGUGAAAUUCGUAGAUAUUUGUAGGAAUGCCGAUGGGGAAGCCAGCCUACUGGACAGAUACUGACGCUAAAGCGCGAAAGCGUGGGUAGCAAACAGGAUUAGAUACCCUGGUA